AUAUCUGCAUGUUGGCAAAAAUAUUAUAUUAGGAUCAAUUCUACAUGUUGACAACACUAUCAUAUUAGCAACAGAUUUGAUCAAAUUUGAAAGAUCUUCAAGUAAUUUUGUUUUGUGGACAGUAUUGGAUUCAAACAGUUUAUUCACUUCCUGAACAUGUUUUAAAAUUGGAUGCAAAAAUAAAAGGUAAAGUUCAUUCCUAGAAUCACAAAACAUUUCAUGUAACGUUUGUGCUGUAAAGUAUUUUUCUUUUGUGGUUGUAGUUUGGAAGAGAGUUUGCAAUUCAAACCAUUGGCUUAAAAUUCUAUUUACCGCUGGUUCUAUUGACAGCCACCUAGUCGUACAAGAAUUCAUGAUCUUCAAAGGCUCUUUAUCAUUGAUAGCAAGGUAAAGUUGUUUGUAGGCACUUUGUCUUGUUGAAGAAUGAGAGGACCAUUUAUAGGUUUCGGAUACUAAAAAUUCUAAAUUUAUGGGUAAGCAUUCAGCACAAGUGUGGGAUACUGCCAACUGUAAAGAAUGACAUACACAUCUAAAUAGAAGCAAUGAUGGAACUUCAUUUAAUUUCUGGAAAACACCAUUGUUGACUCCUAUCAUUACUCUAGCAUUGUCGGUUCCUAUU
rnacentral:lncRNA from 1 species